ensembl:lncRNA
GGUCUUCAAUAGGGGUAGGUUCAAAACUUCAAAGCUGCUGUUCGAUCUGAAAUGGUCGAUUUGUCAGAUAAUAGGUUGAUAACGCUAAUCGAGAUAUGGCAGCAGUCAGCUUCUCCGAGGCACUCUGUCAGCCGUGCGUUUAUCACGAGAAAUUCAAAGUUGAGCUGAAUGUAAAGAGACCCCUGAUGCCUGUCCACCUGAGUCCAGAGCAGGUGGGGCUGGAGAUGCUGUAUCUCUGUGGACAACUGGACCUUCUCAUCAGGGCACAGGUACACCAGUUCCAGGAGCAGCUGAGACAGGACUGUAGCCCUGAGGAGUCGGCCACUUUCCAGGAGCAAGGAGCAGAGAUUAUUGAUCAGAUGCUCCAAUGCUUAGAACACCUGCCAAAACCUAUGCCGCACCUGGAGGACUAUCUUGACAUGGUGGGUCUGUCGACCAUGUACCCUCGCGUGGAGGUGUUCCUCAUCCAGGGCAGUCCAGUAGACAUGCUGGAGAAACCCCCAAUGGAUGAAUACUUCUCACACAUCGGGAGGCUCAAUCAGCUACUAGUACUUAGUCAGCAGCUAGAGGAGGAUGUAAAACAUCUCGGGAGCCACAAAUACAUCGCCCACCAGCUGUCAGUUAUAUAUCAAGUGCUCAGCUCAUUCCGAGGUAUCCAGCCACUGUCAGUCCUGAAGAAAGAGAUUGAGGCCAACUUCAGACAGAUGAAGACAUCUUUGCUGACGGAGGAGGGCUCCAGGCAGGAGCCUCAGCUCCCAGCACACUACAUCAGCUGGAUAUUGGAGCUGACUCUUAGUAUAACGUCAACAGUCUCCUCGCUACCAGAGGAACUCACUGAAGACCUGAGUCCAGCCAUGACCUUUGUGUCCCAGCUAUGACAUCACACCUGACAUUGAGCCCGUGUUACAUAUUACCAACCCGUGGAGCUGAGGGUCAACAACAUUUAAACAAAUUGUUUUUUAUUAAUGUCCGACAGACCAACCCGGUGAUUCAAGAAUGAUGUUUUGACAUGUCACUGUCAUUUUAUUGAAUAGGGUCCUAAGCUCUCAUUGGUUAAGUGGAUGAAUGUUAAUGAAUGUGUUAUAAAUGUGUUAGGCCAAAUGUCUAAAAAAGAGGUGCUAAAUAAUGUUACUGUAUGAAAUUGCAUUUGAACAAAUUGUUUACAUUGGCCAAUGAAUUAAAUUGAGAGAUAAGCCUAUAGACUGAAAAUCUUCUGAAUUUCAAUAACAGAGAUUGACCACGAGUCAUAGAUUUGAAAGAGUACAGGCUAAUCGGGCAAAAUGGCCACGGAAGUUCAAGGCCGACCGUGGUAGAGCAUACAUUGUUAGCGGAAAACAGGAUAGUGAAUGGAAAAAUGGAAAUCCUCAUGGUCAAUCAUCGUCUGAAU